rfam:Pediococcus claussenii ATCC BAA-344 plasmid pPECL-1, complete sequence.
UCUGUCAACGGUAAAUCGACGUAGAACGGCUUUUAGCCGUUCUAGGAGGCUUUAAGGAGUUGAUAGACUCACUAGA